GGGGGUGUAUUUGGUUUCGACAGUAUUUUAGAAGUAUAAAUAGCGAGUAGUGGAUGGUCGCUUUGGCCACUUAAAAAAAGCGAAAUAAAUAUAAACGCUGAUAAUAAAGAAUUAGCAUACGCUGCCUAGGCGGCGUCAUCUUACUUUAAUGCCCACAGUUAAAGAUAAGGUGUCGACUUUGUGGGAAACGAAGCUAUUUUUUCUCUUAAAAUAGUAGGUAAUAGAAAGAGAUAUAUUUUUAUUUGUUUUGUUUAUUGAUCAAAUAAAAAAGAAAACAAACAAUAAACUGCACUCGGAGAAGUUUAUAUGGAAGAAAUAUUGGACAGGAGUUCGACUCUCCUCAUCUCCACCA
rnacentral:tmRNA from 2 species